UACGUAGGGCGCAAGCGUUAUCCGGAAUCAUUGGGCGUAAAGCGCGUGUAGGCGGCCCGGUAAGUCCGCUGUGAAAGUCCAGGGCUCAACCCUGGAAUGCCGGUGGAUACUGUCGGGCUCGAGUCCGGAAGAGGCGAGUGGAAUUCCUGGUGUAGCGGUGAAAUGCGCAGAUAUCAGGAGGAACACCGAUGGCGAAGGCAGCUCGCUGGGACGGUACUGACGCUGAGACGCGAAAGCGUGGGGAGCAAACAGG
rnacentral:rRNA from 1 species